GAGGGUAUAGCUCAGUGGUAGAGCGCAUGCUUAGCAUAAACGAAGUCCUGGGUUCAAUCCCCAGUACCUCCU
rnacentral:tRNA from 1 species